UCAAACAAAGUAAUCCAGUUUUUACUGAAAACCGCCUGUGACAUUAUUAAGACCAGAAUGAAAACUAUCAUAUUAGCACUUCUGCUAACCACAGUUUUCAACGGUGGCAGUGCCCAGGUACCCGCCGCUGUAUUUGGCCUACUUCAAGACACAACACAAAAUGUUGGCGACACCGUUGAUGCCGUAGUUCCUCCAGGAACUGUCCCCGGUGUCAAUGUUGGCGAUACUGUACGAGGACUUGGACAAUCGUCCUAACUAACUAAUCGGACUAACGUCUUAGAAUAAACUAAAUUGGUAUAAGGAUAGUACUUCCUUCAAUAUAUUUUUAUAUUAUUAAGGCUCAUGUGUAUUUAAUACUUCAUGUUUAAUUUGGCUAAAAUGUAUUAUAAAAUAAACAAAUUGUUCUGUUAU